AAAGGAUAGAUGAACUGAUUAAUUAAAGAAAAGAGGGAAGAAUAUAUAGAAUUUUAAAUUUGUUUAAUAAAAUCAUUUUUAUUAAGUAUACGGGUUUGAGUAUUGGAUAAAGAAAAAAUUGAAUGUGUGUUAGUUGUGGAGUACCGUGAGGGAAAAGUUGAAAAGCAAUGAAAUAUUUAUUUUGGGGAAAGUGAAUUUUAGUGAUUGUACCUUGUGUAUCAGGGUUUAUUAAAAGAUUUCUAGUGAGCUUAGAUGUCCCGAUUUAAGGAGAGUUAAUUGAUUGUUUGUUGGUUAAUGUGGAAUAAUUAUCAAGGAAGCUUAAUUGGAAGUGAAAUGUUAACGUUCCUUAAGGUAUCUGGUUUUUUAAGAUGUGAAUUUAAUUCAGUUAUUUUAUGUUAGGUUCCUGAUGGUUUAUUAAGGAGUGGCUAUGAAUAAUAUAAUAAAAACCCGAGGGAUAAGCUUCGGGUUUAGGUAUAGGACUAUAAAGAUCGUUUUGGUAAUAUAAAAGAACUAGGCUUAGAAGUAGCUGUGUUUAAAAUGGUGUUAUAACUUAUUUUAGUAUUAUUAAUAUUUGGACUGGGUUUAGUUGGUUUAUUAAAAUAUUAUAUUGAAUUAGAAAGGUUAAGUAAUAAUGAUGAAAUUAGUAUAAGGGAUUAGUUGAGAAUUAUUUGAGCUUGAAAAGGUUACAGUAAGGAAUUAGGCAAAAUAGUGUCCGCCUGUUUAACAAAAACAUGUCUUCUUGGAUUUGAAUUUGAGGUUUGACCUGCCCACUGAUAGAAUUGAAGGGCCGCGGUAUUUUGACCGUGCAAAGGUAGCAUAAUCAUUAGUCUUUUAAUUGGAGGCUGGAAUGAAUGGUUGGACGAGACACUGACUGUCUCAUUGUGAUUGAGAUUAGAAUUUAACAUUUAAGUGAAAAGGCUUAAAUUUGUUUAAAGGACGAGAAGACCCUAUAGAGCUUUAUAUUAAAGUCUUUUUAAUUAUUUGGAUGUAGACAAUUACUAGGGUUAUUUAAUAUUUUAUUGGGGUGAUAGGAAGAUAGAAGGAACUCUUUUUUGGUGAGGUACAUUGAUUUGUGAAAUGAUUAAAUUGAUCCAUUAUUAUUGAUUAGAAGACCAAGUUACCUUAGGGAUAACAGCGUAAUCUUCUUAGAGAGUUCUUAUCGACAAGAAGGGUUGCGACCUCGAUGUUGGAUUAAGGUAAAAUUUGGGUGCAGAUGUUCAAAUUUUUAGGUCUGUUCGACCUUUAAAUCCUUACAUGAUCUGAGUUCAGACCGGCGUGAGCCAGGUCGGUUUCUAUCCUUAAAAUAGGGGGGUAUUUUAGUACGAAAGGACCAAAUACUCGAAAUAAGUUUUUGAGGAAAAUGGAUUUAAAUUAAUAGG
rnacentral:rRNA from 1 species